AACGAACGCUGGCGGCGCGUCUUAAACAUGCAAGUCGAACGAUCUGUAGCAAUACAGGGAGUGGCGGACGGGUGAGGAACACGUAGGAAUCUACCUUGAAGAGCGGGACAACUUUGGGAAACCGGGGCUAAUACCGCAUAGUACGGAGAUGUUAAAGGGCUAGCAAUAGUCGCUUCGAGAUGAGCCUGCGGUCUAUCAGCUUGUUGGUGAGGUAAUGGCUCACCAAGGCUACGACGGAUAGCCGGUCUGAGAGGAUGAUCGGCCACACUGGCACUGAGACACGGGCCAGACUCCUACGGGAGGCAGCAGUUAAGAAUCUUGCGCAAUGGGGGAAACCCUGACGCAGCGACGCCGCGUGAAGGAUGAAGGCUUUCGGGUUGUAAACUUCGGUAGACUGGGAAGAAGAAAUACGUCGUUGAGGGCAUAUAGUGACGGUACCAGUCUGAAGCCCCGGCUAAUUACGUGCCAGCAG
rnacentral:rRNA from 1 species